rnacentral:rRNA from 1 species
GACGAACGCUGGCGGCGUGCCUAAUACAUGCAAGUCGAACGCACUGACAGAGAAACUUGUUUCUCUUGACGUGAGUGGCGCACGGGUGAGUAACACGUGGGAAACCUACCCUUCAGCGGGGGAUAACCGUCGGAAACGAUGGCUAAUACCGCAUAGGUCUUUUAACCGCCUGGUUGAAAGAGGAAAGACGGCUUCGGCUGUCACUGAAGGAUGGUCCCGCGGUGCAUUAGCUAGUUGGUAAGGUAACGGCUUACCAAGGCGAUGAUGCAUAGCCGACCUGAGAGGGUGAUCGGCCACAUUGGGACUGAGACACGGCCCAAACUCCUACGGGAGGCAGCAGUAGGGAAUCUUCCGCAAUGGACGAAAGUCUGACGGAGCAACGCCGCGUGUGUGAAGAAGGUCUUCGGAUCGUAAAGCACUGUUAUUAGAGAAAAACAACCGGUAGAGUAACUGUUACCGGCUUGACGGUAUCUAACCAGAAAGCCACGGCUAACUACGUGCCAGCAGCCGCGGUAAUACGUAGGUGGCAAGCGUUGUCCGGAUUUAUUGGGCGUAAAGGGAGCGCAGGCGGUGACUUAAGUCUGAUGUGAAAGCCCACGGCUCAACCGUGGAAGGUCAUUGGAAACUGGGUCACUUGAGUGCAGAAGAGGAAAGUGGAAUUCCAUGUGUAGCGGUGAAAUGCGUAGAUAUAUGGAGGAACACCAGUGGCGAAAGCGACUUUCUGGUCUGUAACUGACGCUGAGGCUCGAAAGCGUGGGGAGCAAACAGGAUUAGAUACCCUGGUAGUCACGCCGUAAACGAUGAGUGCUAAGUGUUGGAGG